rnacentral:rRNA from 1 species
AUUGAACGCUGGCGGCAGGCUUAACACAUGCAAGUCGAACGAGUGGCGGACGGGUGAGUAAUGCCUGGGAAUCUGGCUUAUGGAGGGGGAUAACGACGGGAAACGGUCGCUAAUACCGCGUACCAUAGGAUGAGCCCAAGUGGGAUUAGCUAGUUGGUGGGGUAAUGGCCUACCAAGCCGACGAUCCCUAGCCGGUCUGAGAGGAUGAACGGCAACAGUGGGACUGAGACACGGUCCAGACUCCUACGGGAGGCAGCAGUGGGGAAUUUUGGACAAUGGGCGCAAGCCUGAUGCAGCCAUGCCGCGUGUCUGAAGAAGGCCUUCGGGUUGUAAAGGACUUUUGUCAAGGAGGCGGUACCUGAAGAAUAAGCACCGGCUAACUCCGUGCCAGCCGCCGCGGUAAUAC